rnacentral:rRNA from 1 species
AUUGAACGCUGGCGGCAGGCCUAACACAUGCAAGUCGAACGAGUGGCGGACGGGUGAGUAAUGUCUGGGAAACUGCCUGAUGGAGGGGGAUAACUACGGGAAACGGUAGCUAAUACCGCAUACCAUCAGAUGUGCCCAGAGGGGAUUAGUUUGUUGGUGGGGUAACGGCUCACCAAGGCGACGAUCCCUAGCUGGUCUGAGAGGUUUACCACCCAAACUGGAACGGAGACACGGUCCAGACUCCUACGUGAGGCAGCAGUGGGGAAUAUUGCACAAUGGGGGCAAGCCGGAUGCAGCCAGGCGGCGUGUAUGAAGAGGGCCUUCGGGUUGUAAAGUACUUUCAGCGGGGAGGCGUUACCCGCAGAAGAAGCACCGGCUAACUCCGUGCCAGCAGCCGCGGUAAUAC